rnacentral:other from 1 species
AUUGCAAUUACUCCUAAUCCCUAUUAGGGAUUGAAAC